AUUGAACGCUGGCGGCAGGCCUAACACAUGCAAGUCGAGCGGCUGAAGGGAGCUUGCUCCUGGAUUCAGCGGCGGACGGGUGAGUAAUGUCUAGGAAUCUGCCUGGUAGUGGGGGAUAACGUCCGGAAACGGGCGCUAAUACCGCACACGCCCUGAGGGAGAAAGUGGGGGAUCUUCGGACCUCACGCUCUCAGACGAGCCUAGGUCGGAUUAGCUAUGUGGUGGGGUAAAGGCCUACCAAGGCGACGAUCCGUAGCUGGUCUGAGAGGACGAUCAGCCACACUGGAACUGAGACACGGCCCAGACGCCUACGGGAGGCAGCAGUGGGGAAUUUUGGACAAGGGGCGAAAGCCUGAUACAGCAAUGCCGCGUGUGUGAAGAAGGCCUUCGGGUUGUAAAGCAUUUUUGUCCGGAAAGAAAUACUUGGCCCUAAUACGGUCGGGGGAGGACGGUACCGGAAGAAUAAGCACAGGCUAACUACGUG
rnacentral:rRNA from 1 species